rnacentral:rRNA from 1 species
GACAGCCAGGAUGUUGGCUUAGAAGCAGCCAUCAUUUAAAGAAAGCGUAAUAGCUCACUGGUCGAGUCGGCCUGCGCGGAAGAUGUAACGGGGCUAAACCAUGCACCGAAGCUGCGGCAGCGACGCUGAUGCGUUGUUGGGUAGGGGAGCGUUCUGUAAGCCUGCGAAGGUGUGCUGUGAGGCAUGCUGGAGGUAUCAGAAGUGCGAAUGCUGACAUAAGUAACGAUAAAGCGGGUGAAAAGCCCGCUCGCCGGAAGACCAAGGGUUCCUGUCCAACGUUAAUCGGGGCAGGGUGAGUCGACCCCUAAGGCGAGGCCGAAAGGCGUAGUCGAUGGGAAACAGGUUAAUAUUCCUGUACUUGGUGUUACUGCGAAGGGGGGACGGAGAAGGCUAUGUUGGCCGGGCGACGGUUGUCCCGGUUUAAGCGUGUAGGCUGGUUUUCCAGGCAAAUCCGGAAAAUCAAGGCUGAGGCGUGAUGACGAGGCACUACGGUGCUGAAGCAACAAAUGCCCUGCUUCCAGGAAAAGCCUCUAAGCAUCAGGUAACAUCAAAUCGUACCCCAAACCGACACAGGUGGUCAGGUAGAGAAUACCAAGGCGCUUGAGAGAACUCGGGUGAAGGAACUAGGCAAAAUGGUGCCGUAACUUCGGGAGAAGGCACGCUGAUA